rnacentral:rRNA from 1 species
UACGGGGGGGGCAAGCGUUGUUCGGAAUUACUGGGCGUAAAGGGCUCGUAGGCGGCCAACUAAGUCAGACGUGAAAUCCCUCGGCUUAACCGGGGAACUGCAUCUGAUACUGGAUGGCUUGAGUUCGGGAGAGGGAUGCGGAAUUCCAGGUGUAGCGGUGAAAUGCGUAGAUAUCGGGAGGAACACCGGUGGCGAAGGCGGUUCUCUGGGCCUUACCUGACGCUGAGGAGCGAAAGCGUGGGGAGCGAACAGG